rnacentral:lncRNA from 10 species
CUGACAGUGCCCGAUCUCAAAGUCCAUGCCUACACGUCAGUCUCCCCACCCAUAAGAAGGACAUAAUGGAUCUGCUUGCAAAUCUGUACAUCGUGGGCCUGAGUGGAUCAAGAGAACACUAAGCUCAGGAAUUCAGGGAGCUGGGUGGGAAGGCUCACCUUUCGAGUGCGGAGGGUGACGGACGCCCCCCGUUCAAGCAGCAGCUCAGCCACCUCGAAGUGGCCACAGUUGAGGGCAUCGUGGAGGGGGGUGAUGCCUUCGCAGCCCUGGCCACCUGGGUCGUCCACUGCGGCCCCGUGGUCCAGCAGGAAGCGGACAAUUUCUGCAGACCAGGAGACGUAAGCCCAGCUCCCGAUGCCCCGCCAGGACUGACUCUUCGCCCCACGUGUCCACCAAGGCUGGAGUGCAGCGGCGCAAUCUCAUCUCACCGCAACCUCCGCCUCCCAGGUUCAAGCGAUUCUCCUGCCUCAGCCUCCCGAGUAGCUGGGACUACAGGGUCUCACUGUGUUGCCCAGGCUGGAGUGCAGUGGCAUGAUCGCGACUCCUGCAGCCUCAAUCUCCCUCCCAGGAUGAAGUGAUCCUCCUGCCUCUAGGACCACAGGUGGCCCUGAAGCUCCUCGUCCUCCUCCAGCUGCGGGGUCAGGCCAUCGGUGUCGUCCUCUGGAACAGAGCCAAGCCCACCCCAGGGGAGUCCGUGGGAGGUGAAGGAGGCCAAGGCCGCCCCAGGCUCCCUGCGGGUCACCACCUUCUCUGUCCAGUUCCGGGAAAGCACUGGCCGUCCUGCCUGCCUGUGGCUGUUCCUGCUACAGCCCUAAGCAGGCUCCACAGCAGCACAGCACACCCCUCUCCAGCCCGGCCCAGAGCAGGCCCAGGGAAAUGCAAGGUGCCGCUGGCCCUCACCGCCCUCUGAGAGCUCCACCUCGCCGGCCUCCAGGGCUUCGCUCUCCGCUGUGGCUGCCGCCUCCUCCGCCUCCUCCUCCUCAUCUUCAUCUUCAGCUACACUGAGCUCCCGUAGUCUGGUUUCGGUCUCAGGGGCCUCCUGGGGCUGCAGCCUCAGCUGCACGGUAUGGAGAUGCUGCAAGACCUGCCUCUGAGGAGCAGAGGGAUGCUCAGCUCAGGACUGGGGGCUGUGGACGCAGAGAAAGAUGGGGAUGGGGCACAAGGGGCAGGCAGGCUGCAACGAAGCUGGGCUCACCGGGGAGCCAGUAUGGGUGGGAUGGGCUCUCGCACCUGCAGCUGGGGACGCUGGGCCUGCUGGGCACAGCUGAGCGCUUUCUGGAAGCACGGGGCCAGCAGCUCGUAGGCAUCGCCGGCCUCCUCGCGGGACAGUGCAAUGUUCAGCCAGGUCUUGGCCUCCUGGAGCAGGAGGAAGGACAGGGUCGGGGGCUGCCGCUGUCUGCGUCCAACGGGCCCCAGUCAAGCUUCCCCGGCUGCCCAGACGAAAUGGGAGCCCGGCCUCCCAGCUGCCGAGGGUGGAUGGUCCUAGGAAGGAGCUGCCCGUCCAGUAAGGACACCUGUCCAUGGCCACCCUGAGAACGGCAGUCCUGAGGCAGAGACAUGGGUGAACCUGCAUUCGGGCGGGGAGCAAGGGUUUCACCUCCAGCACGUUGCCGCUGCGCAGCCUCAGUUCCUCCUCAUAGUGGCGCACGGCCCCAUGGUGGUCCUUCAUGUCUCCCAGUGUGGUGGCCAGGGA